AGUGAACGCUGGCGGUAGGCCUAACACAUGCAAGUCGAACGGCAGCACAGUAAGUGCUUGCUCUUACGGGUGGCGAGUGGCGGACGGGUGAGGGAUACAUCGGAAUUUACUUUUUCGUGGGUGAUAACGUAGGGAAACUUACGCUAAUACCGCAGACGACCUACGUGUGAAAGCAGCGGAUCUUCGGAUCUUGCGCGAUCGAAUGAGGCGAUGUCGGAUUAGCUAGUUGGCGGGGUAAAGGCCCACCAAGGCGACGAUCCGUAGCUGGUCUGAGAGGAUGAUCAGCCACACUGGAACUGAGACACGGUCCAGACUCCUACGGGAGGCAGCAGUGGGGAAUAUUGGACAAUGGGCGCAAGCCUGAUCCAGCCAUGCCGCGUGGGUGAAGAAGGCCUUCGGGUUGUAAAGCCCUUUUGUUGGGAAAGAAAAGCAGCAGGUUAAUACCCCGCUGUUCUGACGGUACCAACAGAAUAAGCACCGGCUAACUUCGUG
rnacentral:rRNA from 1 species